CUGGACUGUUUCACAGGCAAGGCCAGCAACUGGAGAACGGCUCAGUGGAUAACGUGCAGGCCGUGCAAGCAUGAGGCCAUGGGUUCAGAUACCCAGCAGCAAUAAAAAAGAUCCCAGCCAUGGUGGUGUGUGUUUAUAAUCCCAGUGCUGCGGAGGCAGAGACCUUCAGGAGCACGAGGAGCAGAAUGAACAUAAUCCCCACACCAACCUCAGGACCCCUGGUCAAGUCCAUGGGGGCUCUGAAGAGCGGCGAACCUGUUGUUCUCCGAAUUCCUUACAUCAAAUUUCUCUCCUGCAAAAUCAGGCCCCCAGGAAGGAUCCACUUCAUAGGCAGUGCUGUUCUGGGAAGAGAGAAGCACAUGGAUCUGCUUCCGAUACCUCCACGAACACCUGGGGGCCCCAGAUGAGCAGUUCCUCCUCAGGGGACAAGGUGGAUCUUGCACGAAGGUCAGCCAUGUUGUGGGCUGGUGACUUGUUCAGAUGCAGGUCCUUCGUAGAGUCUUCAAAACCUCCCCUUCGCUAUCGCCUCGGAGAUACUAAAUGCUAGGUGAUGGUCUGGCGAGGUGGUUCAUGCCCCAAAGGCAAAUUGCCUGAUUUUGGACCAUUAGGGCCAGCAAAGUAGGAGGAGAGAGUUGACUUGCCCAAAUUGUCCUCCAGUCUCUAUAUGCACACCCCCACUAAAUUAAAUUUUAGCUUAAAAAAAAAAAAAAUGAGACCUA